rnacentral:tRNA from 1 species
GCCAGCAUGGCGCAGUGGUUUGAGUGUUGGACUGCAACUCUAGUGACCAGGGUUUGAUUCCUGGCUCAGCCC